rnacentral:rRNA from 1 species
AUAAUGGGUCAGCGACUUAUAUUCUGUAGCAAGGUUAACCGAAUAGGGGAGCCGAAGGGAAACCGAGUCUUAACUGGGCGUUAAGUUGCAGGGUAUAGACCCGAAACCCGGUGAUCUAGCCAUGGGCAGGUUGAAGGUUGGGUAACACUAACUGGAGGACCGAACCGACUAAUGUUGAAAAAUUAGCGGAUGACUUGUGGCUGGGGGUGAAAGGCCAAUCAAACCGGGAGAUAGCUGGUUCUCCCCGAAAGCUAUUUAGGUAGCGCCUCGUGAAUUCAUCUCCGGGGGUAGAGCACUGUUUCGGCAAGGGGGUCAUCCCGACUUACCAACCCGAUGCAAACUGCGAAUACCGGAGAAUGUUAUCACGGGAGACACACGGCGGGUGCUAACGUCCGUCGUGAAGAGGGAAACAACCCAGACCGCCAGCUAAGGUCCCAAAGUCAUGGUUAAGUGGGAAACGAUGUGGGAAGGCCCAGACAGCCAGGAUGUUGGCUUAGAAGCAGCCAUCAUUUAAAGAAAGCGUAAUAGCUCACUGGUCGAGUCGGCCUGCGCGGAAGAUGUAACGGGGCUAAACCAUGCACCGAAGCUGCGGCAGCGACGCUUAUGCGUUGUU